rnacentral:rRNA from 1 species
UACCCAAUCCUGACACAGGGAGGUAGUGACAAGAAAUAACAAAGCAAGCCCUUAGGGGCGCUGCGUUGGAAUGAGUAGAAUUUAAAUCUCUUUACGACUAUCGAUUGGAGGGCAAGUCUGGUGCCAGCAGCCGCGGUAAUUCCAGCUCCAAUAGCGUAUAUUAAAGUUGUUGCGGUUAAAAAGCUCGUAGUUGGAUUUCUGUCGAGGUCAACCGGUGCACAUUUCAUGUCGCAUUUGGUUUGGUCUUGGCAUCCUCGUGGGGAACGUUUCUGGACUUUAUUGGACGGGGCGAGAUUCACGACUUUUACUUUGAGGAAAUUAGAGUGUUCACGGCAGGCAAGUGCUUUGAAUACAUUAGCAUGGAAUAAUAAUAUAGGACCUUCGUUCUAUUUUGUUGGUUUCUAGAACUUAGGUAAUGAUUAAUAGGGACAAUUGGGGGCAUUCGUAUUAACGCGUCAGAGGUGGAAUUCUUGGAUUGCGUUACGACGAACUACUGCGAAAGCAUUUGCCAAAGAUGUUUUCAUUGAUCAAGAACGAAAGUAUGGGGAUCGAAGACGCUUAGAUACCGUCGUAGUCUAUACCAUAAACUAUGCCAACUAGGGAUUGGAGGGGUUAUCC